rfam:Bacillus vietnamensis strain TCD-SED5 scaffold_82, whole genome shotgun sequence.
AUCAGCAUGCCGCGGUGAAUACGUUCCCGGGCCUUGUACACACCGCCCGUCACACCACGAGAGUUUGUAACACCCGAAGUCGGUGAGGUAACCUUUUGGAGCCAGCCGCCUAAGGUGGGACAGAUGAUUGGGGUGAAGUCGUAACAAGGUAGCCGUAUCGGAAGGUGCGGCUGGAUCACCUCCUUU